rnacentral:snRNA from 1 species
AGAGGAAUUGCUUGAACCCAGAAGGUAGAGGUUGCAGUGUGCUGAGAUCACACCACUGCACUCCAGCCUGGGUGACAGAG